CGGACGUGGGAGGAGCGCGGACGGGGCUGAGGUGACGCCCGGAGGCCGGUCGGGCUGCCCGUGCCGGGACCGGAGCUUCUGUCGUACCGGCAAUGCUCGGUCUCGUCGUUCUUACCUGUGCACUUGACUAGCGAUCCAGAUGGAAUUGCAUGACUGUGAUCGGCGCGGCUUUCGCAGUAAAGGGAAGCCCAUAAACGCGGUGAAUGUCACGGUCUCUUCUGCGGCCGUUCACCGAGGGCCGGCGUGAGGAGGGGCUGCCUGCGCUGUGGAAGCCUCUCAGUCCCGGUCGCGGGACAGCGGAGCGCAGGCGGAACCAGCUUCUCCUGGGGAGGAGGGUGCCUGGGGUAAGAGGCUCAGAGACCAUCCUGACAUCACUGCAACCAUGAUUUCACCAGGAUAAUGUACUGGAAGGUUAUUGUCAUAUUACUCCUGGAAAGAGAAUUCUCUGUUUGAGAUGAAUAAUGGUUUGAAUAUGGUAUGUGAUGGCUCUGUAGACUCCAGAGAUAUAACUUGAACAAAUACAUUGUUCUGGAGAGCUGGUAUAACAACACUGCUGAAGAUUUAGAAGCAUUCCAACUACCAAACAGGCAGGAGCAGGACCAUCCUGGCCUGUGGCAUUUACAUGUGAUGCAAGAAUGGGCAAACAUUCGUGCAGCAAGGAGGCUGUGAAAAGCAUGAAUUCCACAAUGCUCCAUUUAAUGGAUGUUAUUUGGGUUGAAAG